GACGAACGCUGGCGGCGUGCUUAACACAUGCAAGUCGAACGGAAAGGCCCUGCUUGCAGGGUACUCGAGUGGCGAACGGGUGAGUAACACGUGGGUGAUCUGCCCUGCACUUCGGGAUAAGCCUGGGCAACUGGGUCUAAUACCUGAUAGGAGCCAUUUUUAGUGUGAUGGUUGGAAGGUUUGUUCGGUGUAGGAUGAGCUCGCGGCCUAUCAGCUUGUUGGUGGGGUAAUGGCCUACCAAGGCGGCGACGGGUAGCCGGCCUGAGAGGGUGGACGGCCACAUUGGGCCUGAGAUACGGCCCAGACUCCUACGGGAGGCAGCGGUGGGGAAUAUUGCAGAAUGGGGGCAAGCCUGAUGCGACGACGCCGCGUGCGGGAUGACGGCCUUCGGGUUGUAAACACCUUUCGCUGGGGACGAAGCUUUUUGUGACGGUACCUAGAUAAGAAGCACCGGCUAACUACGU
rnacentral:rRNA from 1 species